GAAUUCACUAGUGAUUCAGGCCUAACACAUGCAAGUCGAGCGGAUUGAAGAAAAAAGUCUGAUAUUAGCGGCGGACGGGUGAGUAACGCGUGGGUGACCUGCCUUAUACAGGGGGAUAACAGUGAGAAAUCACUGCUAAUACCGCAUAAGACCACACUACCACAUGGUAGAGAGGUAAAAGGAGUAAUCCGGUAUGAGAUGGGCCCGCGUCUGAUUAGCUAGUUGGUGAGGUAAUGCCUCCCCAAGGCGGCGAUCAGUAGCC
rnacentral:rRNA from 1 species